rnacentral:rRNA from 1 species
GCUUUCGUGCCUCAGUGUCAGUGUUGGUCCAGGUAGCUGCCUUCGCCAUGGAUGUUCCUCCCGAUCUCUACGCAUUUCACUGCUACACCGGGAAUUCCACUACCCUCUACCACACUCUAGUCGCCCAGUAUCCACUGCAAUUCCCAGGUUGAGCCCAGGGCUUUCACAACAGACUUAAACAACCACCUACGCACGCUUUACGCCCAGUAAUUCCGAGUAACGCUUGCACCCUUCGUAUUACCGCGGCUGCUGGCACGAAGUUAGCCGGUGCUUAUUCUUUGGGUACCGUCAGAACAACCGGGUAUUAGCCGACUGCUUUUCUUUCCCAACAAAAGGGCUUUACAACCCGAAGGCCUUCUUCACCCACGCGGUAUGGCUGGAUCAGGCUUGCGCCCAUUGUCCAAUAUUCCCCACUGCUGCCUCCCGUAGGAGUCUGGACCGUGUCUCAGUUCCAGUGUGGCUGAUCAUCCUCUCAGACCAGCUACGGAUCGUCGCCUUGGUGGGCCUUUACCCCGCCAACUAGCUAAUCCGACAUCGGCUCAUCUAUCCGCGCAAGGCCCGAAGGUCCCCUGCUUUCACCCGAAGGUCGUAUGCGGUAUUAGCGUAAGUUUCCCUACGUUAUCCCCCACGAAAAGGUAGAUUCCGAUGUAUUCCUCACCCGUCCGCCACUCGCCACCCAUAAGAGCAAGCUCUUACUGUGCUGCCGUUCGACUUGCAUGUGUUAGGCCUACCGCCAGCGUUCA